CUAAACUCUUGUUAAGCGUACGAAAUUCGUGUAUUUCCUUCUGUGAUGUUGAGAAUGAUUUGGAGACUUGUUGUUUAUUUGUUGGUGUUGUAUUUCUUGUUGUAAAUUGUGCUUUGUUAUCAAAUGGUUAUCGCCUCCUUUUCAUUUGAGCAUGUCAUUGCAUGGUAUCUGAGACAUAGUUGUGGUAGAGGAUGAUGUACUAUUUUCGAGGUUUGUAUCGCGCGCCGCCAUGGAUAUUAUAUUUCGAGGGACGUAUCGCGCCGCGAUGAUUACGAUUAUCGAGGGUUGUGUCGUGCGCCGCGACAGAUGCAUGGACAGGUAUGUCCCCCAUGGGUCCCGGACUGAAAGAUAGCGGGUGUGUAUCGUUAGGGAAGACAUGCAUCACUAUACUUUACAUCGCAUCUGAUGGUAUUGCACAUUUUAUUAUUGAUGAACUUGAACUUGUGUUUUGUUGAUCUUGUGAGUGUUUCUCUGUGAAGUUUGUGACUGUUGAAUAUUGAGUUGUUAUUGAGAAUGUGUAAACUGAUAGAGUGUGGUUAUUUAGUUGUGUGUUUGGUAAACUGUAAACUGUUAGACUGUAGCAUGGAGGUCUAGAUAGGGUGUAAGGAGUACCCGUAUUUUAUUCACUUAACUUGUGUUUAGAGGUUU
rnacentral:lncRNA from 1 species